rnacentral:rRNA from 1 species
AUUGAACGCUGGCGGCAGGCCUAACACAUGCAAGUCGAACGGUAGCACAGAGAGCUUGCUCUCGGGUGACGAGUGGCGGACGGGUGAGUAAUGUCUGGGAAACUGCCCGAUGGAGGGGGAUAACUACUGGAAACGGUAGCUAAUCCCGCAUAACGUCGCAAGACCAAAGUGGGGGACCUUCGGGCCUCACACCAUCGGAUGUGCCCAGAUGGGAUUAGCUAGUAGGUGGGGUAAUGGCUCACCUAGGCGACGAUCCCUAGCUGGUCUGAGAGGAGGAGCAGCCACACUGGAACUGAGACACGGUCCAGACUCCUACGGGAGGCAGCAGUGGGGAAUAUUGCACAAUGGGCGCAAGCCUGAUGCAGCCAUGCCGCGUGUAUGAAGAAGGCCUUCGGGUUGUAAAGUACUUUCAGCGGGGAGGAAGGCGGUGAAGUUAAUAACUUCACCGAUUGACGUUACCCGCAGAAGAAGCACCGGCUAACUCCGUGCCAGCCGCCGCGGUAA